AGAGUUUGAUCAUGGCUCAGAUUGAACGCUGGCGGCAGGCCUAACACAUGCAAGUCGAACGGUAACGAUCCUAGCUUGCUAGGAGGCGACGAGUGGCGAACGGGUGAGUAACGCGUAGGAAUCUACCUAGUAGUGGGGGAUAGCCAAGGGAAACUUUGGGUAAUACCGCAUACGAUCUACGGAUGAAAGGGGGCCUCUCUUUGAAGCUCUCGCUAUUAGAUGAGCCUGCGUCGGAUUAGCUUGUUGGUAGGGUAAAGGCCUACCAAGGCGACGAUCCGUAGCUGGUCUGAGAGGAUGAUCAGCCACACUGGAACUGAGACACGGUCCAGACUCCUACGGGAGGCAGCAGUGGGGAAUAUUGGACAAUGGGGGCAACCCUGAUCCAGCCAUGCCGCGUGUGUGAAGAAGGCCUUAGGGUUGUAAAGCACUUUUAGUAGGGAGGAAGGCCCGGUAGUUAAUACCUGCCGGGAUUGACGUUACCUACAGAAAAAGCACCGGCUAAUUUCGUGCCAGCAGCCGCGGUAAUACGAAAGGUGCAAGCGUUAAUCGGAAUUACUGGGCGUAAAGCGCGCGUAGGCGGCUUGGUAAGUUGGAUGUGAAAGCCCCGGGCUCAACCUGGGAACUGCAUCCAAAACUGCCAGGCUAGAGUAUGGUAGAGGAUGGCGGAAUUUCCUGUGUAGCGGUGAAAUGCGUAGAUAUA
rnacentral:rRNA from 1 species